AUGAACGCUGGCGGCGUGCCUCAUACAUGCAAGUCGAGCGAACAGAUCAGGAGCUUGCUCCUUUGACGUUAGCGGCGGACGGGUGAGUAACACGUGGGUAACCUACCUAUAAGACUGGAAUAACUCCGGGAAACCGGGGCUAAUGCCGGAUAACAUUUAGAACCGCAUGGUUCUAAAGUGAAAGAUGGUUUUGCUAUCACUUAUAGAUGGACCCGCGCCGUAUUAGCUAGUUGGUAAGGUAACGGCUUACCAAGGCAACGAUACGUAGCCGACCUGAGAGGGGGAUCGGCCACACUGGAACUGAGACACGGUCCAAACUCCUACGGGGGGGAGCAGUAGGGAAUCUUCCGCAAUGGGGGAAAGCCUUACGGGGCAACGCCGGGGGGGUGAUGAAGGUCUUCCGAUCGUAAAACUCUGUUAUUAGGGAAGAACAAAUGUGUAAGUAACUGUGCACGUCUUGACGGUACCUAAUCAGAAAGCCACGGCUAACUACGUG
rnacentral:rRNA from 1 species